AGACGUGCGCAGGCGGUUAUGUAAGACAGAUGUGAAAUCCCCGGGCCUCAACCUGGGAACUGCAUUUGUGACUGCAUGGCUAGAGUACGGUAGAGGGGGAUGGAAUUCCGCGUGUAGCAGUGAAAUGCGUAGAUAUGCGGAGGAACACCGAUGGCGAAGGCAAUCCCCUGGACCUGUACUGACGCUCAUGCACGAAAGCGUGGGGAGCAAACAGGAUUAGAUACCCUGGU
rnacentral:rRNA from 1 species